rnacentral:piRNA from 1 species
UCUCAGGGAGAUGUGAGUUUGAUGUA